UGAUAUGAUGGCUUCUUAAUGUUCCUCAUUAGAAUGUAAUAAUGAUAGGGCACUGGCAAAUAUGUUUGAUAUAACCAGAUGGGCUUUUAACAUUGAUCCUGGUUUUCAUCCUUUCUUUCAGUGACUCUUGCUGCUGUAAUAGGAGGAGGAGCAGGAGCCGUGGUCGCAGCUCCUGUGGUUCUGGGAGUUGUAGGUUUCACUUCAGCUGGGAUAGCUGCAGGUACCUAUGCUGCCCAAAUGAUGGCAGCAGCUGCCGUCGCUAACGGAGGAGGAGUGGCAGCAGGAGGUCUUGUGGCUGGUUUGCAGGCAGCAGGUGCUGCUGGUCUGUCUGGAGCUGCUACAGCUGCUGUGGCAGGCACUGGAGGAACACUUGCAGGGCUGGCUGCACUCAUCAUCUGACAACCAUGAAGAAAAAAGAUGAAGCUACAAAAUGUUUGCUAUUUUAAAUGAUCAGCUCAGUAAACUAAACUCAUCAUGUUUGAUCUUUCAGACAACUAAAAUGUUUGAUGCAAUAAAUCCCUAAAGCACA